UUUUUUUUUGGUUGGGUGUGACCAUGGUCCCUGCCCAGUUCCGGGCCACAGGAAGGCUCCUCCGCCUGCAGGAUGGAUGAGACAUCCAAAUUUUGUAUCCUAGCUAAAGUGCACCACAAAUAUUAAUAUUAAUAUUCUCGUAUAUAUGCCUAUUACAAACUUGUUUCUUGUUAACGCCAAACAUGAAUUGAAGGCAGUUUACAAUUAAUUUGCAAAAAGAUAAAAGAGGACUGUGGGCAGAGCAUCAUCAGUUGUAGACGCAGCUGCCGUCGUCGCUUCUGGCUGUUGGGUCGAAGUUGCCGGCCUUUGGGUCGGUGCACCCCUCGGGCACGGGCACGCCCACCUGCUGCGCCGCCUUGCCGUAGUACAAGUUGCCGGCGGUGAUGGCUUCGUCGUGGUUGGCGUCGCCGAGCGCCGCCUCGCUGAGGUACUUGUCGGCCAGCUGCACGCGCUUGACGUUCUCCUGCUCCGCCACCAGCAUGUGGCCGUACUCGAGCAGCUUCUCCAGCGUCAUCUUGGGCUGCUGGAACGUCGGCGGGCCCUCCCUGGAGUUGACGAGCUUCCGGCCGAUGUUCUCGAUGCCGGUCUCGGCGACCCACCGGCGCACCUCGUCGUCGUACACCCGGGCUCGCAGCGCGCCGAAGAAGUCGAUGGACUGCCCCGGGAAGGUGUCGACGAGCUUCACGACGGCCUCGUCGGGGACGCCGUCGGUGCGGAAGAUGCCCUUGCAGACUCCUAUCCUAUCCUCGCGGGUGGGCGCCCAGUAGAACUUGUCCAUGCGGCCGUCGCGGAUGAGCGGCGCGUACAGCGUGGAGAAGUCGUUGCCGGUGACGACGAUGGGGACACGGGGGUUCUCCUCCUUGUUGUACAUGCCGGGGAGCUGCACGUUGGUGGGGUUGUCGGCGAUGUUCAUCAGGGUGGCGUUCACCAUCUGGUUGUUCACCGUGUACUGCGUGGUGCCGCCCAUGCGCCCGGCGCCGGCGUCGAGGUCGUUGAUGAAGAGCACGCACAUCCUGCCCUUGCUGAUGAUGUCGGCGGCCUCGCGGUAGCGCUGGCGGAUGAGCUUGGCGGGCUCGCCGGCGUUGCCGCUCUCCAGCUCGCCGGCGCUCAUCAUGACGGGGUUGAUGCCCAUCUUGGCGAAGACGAGCUCGCACUGGAAGGACUUGCCCUGGCCCUUGCCGCCCCAGAUGCCCAGGAUGAGGGGCACCUUGAUGUUGGGCAGGGACAUGAAGUUCUUGGCGAUGUGGACCACCAGCUUGUCCAUGAACGCCGGAGCGAUGUAGUAGCCGUCCAUCAUGUUGUCCAGGUUGUACUGACGGAGACCCUGGCUGAGGUACUCGUAGGAGCUGAGCACGGCCUCGUGGGUGCCGUCGCCCAUGGGCGCCUGGAACAGGGAGUCCACCAGGCCCUUGCCGCGAGUGAUGUCCUGCUGGUCGUCGGAGAUGUCGUGGGCGAGGCCCCUCCACCUGUCGCUCUCGGUCUGCUUGGUCUCGUCCACGGCCUCCUUCUUACUAUUGCUGGCCGACGCCGCCAUCGCCAUGACGACGACUCUGCUUCGACGGUGCUGCUUCCUGGUGGUGAUGAGCUUCUUCUUCUUCUUCCCAACGCCGAGGAAGCUGCUCGGCGUCGAGGCCAAAUUUAAAGCAGCAGCAGCAGCCAUCUCGAUCGAUCGAUCUCAAGAUUAUUGGACGUACAAAUUGAAUGGGAUUGAAGAUGAUGACGAUGAGUUGUAGUAUAUAUAGCAGGGUAAAGAUAUGCAGCUGCUAAAUUGAUGAGCAGGCAGUAGCUAGUGUGGUCUGGAUCCUUCCCGAUUGCUCACUGGAUCUCCAGAACGUUAACGAACAAGUGUGCAGUGGUGGCCUGGUGGGUACGUGAGGCUGAUGAGUGGCCAACAUGUUAGUACGUCCAUCCAAACACUGCUAUCCCAGCCUGACAUGCGUACGCUGUCGAUCGGAUGGGCCGCGUGGGCCCCCACCCUGGAUUUAGCAUUUGAGUACCGCUCUAUCCAUCCAUCCUGUUUUAGCACAGCUUUUUUUAAGUGUUUAUAAUAAUUCUUACUAUAUAUCUUGUAUGUCUAAGAAAAAAAAUCAAAACAAACUACAGUUUAAAAUGGAGGGAAUAUUUAGCAAAAAAAAAUAGGCCAUGUUUGGACCGCAUAUACCGGCUCCAGGGAUCGCCAAAAUGAUUGAGCAAGAACCGAGGGUUUACUGAACCCUUGCAUUAACCCUCAAUCUAUGAGCUUAGUGCGCUAAGGUCGUUGGGUUGGGGAAAAAACUCAUCUUUAGUCGUACUUGCAUUGGAUGGUUCUUAGCGAUUUCAAGAUUAGCCGCUAGACGAUCGCAUAACCUUUGAUCUAACGGAUGACCACCGGGAGCCUUGUUUCUACUCUUUUGUCACGUUUUAGAUACUUGAGUCUCGAGGCUUUUGUCAAGAGAGAACGAAUUGAAGGAUCCAUACAGCUUUUACAAAGCAUGAGAAUCGAAAUUGGUGAUCAUCUCCACGGAAGGGGAGAAGACGACAGGGUAUGCAUGGCGAGCUCAGCAGCUGGCUGCAACGAGCUCUCUGCCGCAGCACGCAGCAGCUGGCGUGCUCCUCGAUCUAGAUAGAUUGUAACGUUUUCGUCAGCGCCCCUCGAUGCCGCCCUGGCUCUCCAUCGGAGUUCCUUUCUCCACUUCCGGUCACAUCAAUCUCCAUCGGCGGCUGUGGCUCACGGCUUCGCCGGAGGUGCCGGAGAGUCCAUUUGUCCAGGCCUCGCCGGCGUGGAGCGAGCGAGCGACCGACGACCUGGGGACGUCGGCGUUCACCCGGAACGCCGCGUGGGAGAGGAGAGGCGACAAAGAAAAAAAAAAAAGGGAAGCGUCAAGAGUACUGGUCGUUUUCUCCCUCUAUCUGAGGAGUGUUGAAAAGAAUUAUUGGAAUGGAACAAACCAAAAAAUAUUGAAAAAAAGAAGAUGCAUUUCCAAUACUAGUCGUUUUUUUGGGAAAGAGAGACCUUUUUUUUGAGGGGGGAAAAGAGAGACUGAUGCUCUGAGGAAUUGAGGAAACACAGGUACCAAAAAAAGAAGAGGGAGAAAACACAAGCCGGGCCUUAACGGGCGGCCAGGCUAUGGCCCGCUAAGGCACGGCCCGUUAAGGCCCGCUCGGGGUCCCCAUCCCACCACGCGCCCCUCCCAAGCCCAUGGGUCGUGGCUGGACUUAUGGGGGGAUCAUUCAUGGGGCAGCAGCUUCUCAUUUCUAGGACUCUGUUUCUGAUAUUGUUCCCGCUGCAUCUGCUCAUCCCCAUGGUGAAUGUUGCUGUUGAUCUGUAGAUUGGAUUUGUUGGUCGGUAGUUUGAUUAGAUUUGUGCUGAAUCAUAAUCUCUGCCUGUGAUAUUUUUCUUCAUUGCGGAUGUGUGCCGAGUAUUAUCCCCUUUGUUCAUUCUGUUGGCUUGCUUUCAUUGAUCUUAAGAUAACUGGUGUCAUAAAUUCACACUAGCUGAUGCACUUGCAGAUAGCUAUGUAAAUAUGAAAAAGAAGUAUUUUUUUUUAUCCUUUUGUUUUUUUUGCAUCAUAUCUGUUUAAAGGUACAGCAUUAGGAUUUUUUUUUGUUUCUGGGGAAUCAUAUCUGCUUAAAUGGUAUAGAAAAUGCUGAGCGUACUGUCAAAUAGAUUUUCCAGCAGUCUGCUUUCAGUUGUUUGCCGCGCAUUCACUGGGGAAGCACGCGCCAGGCAUCACCAGGCUCCUCGUGCCCCUGCUCUGCUCCAAGGACUCGGUGCUUCGACGCGCUGCUUUCCCUGUCAUUGUUAUGUUGAUAUUGGUUUACACGUGUCAUUCACCCCAAAUGGUGUUGCAAGGUUGAACCUAUUGUGGGAGGCUUUUGGUUUCCCUUGACCAAGUAUCACUAGUGAUAUCACUGCGUUCUGGUUAUGUAUGAAACACUUGUCUUUUUAAAACCUUUCUGAAUUUAGAAACGAAUUUGAAACCUUGGUUAUUCAUCAUGGGUUCACAGAUUUGUUUUUCUUUAAAAGAAUUGGGAAGUAGCUUUCUUUCUGGGUAUAUGUGGGGAAAUGCAUAUGCAAUCUUUUAUUUAUUGAGGUGACUGUAAAAUUCUUGUCUGACUGAAUAUGCGAUUUCAACCUACAUGCUAUACUUAGGGAAAUUUGUGAAUCUCCUAAUGUGGCUUAUAUGUGUGGAGUCACUUAACCUAUGCACUUGGACCUCCACGUUUUAUGAACCUAAUUUGACAGCCUGCUCGUCUUUUAUUUUCUACCAAUCAGCUAGGAACGAACAUGGUGAUGUUUGCAUCUCUGCCAUCAAUGGCUUACAUGUCAUUAUGUAUCACAUUAGCAAGUCUUGUUUUGUUAUUGGGCGGGAUGACGGGGACACUGGCUGGAAUUAAAUCAAAGUGGUAGAUCACAGGGUAUUCAUUGCCAUGUAUUUCUGCAGUUGCAUGGACUUGCAUCAAACGGACCUCCCUACUUAUGUGAUUGUCCUAUAUGAUCUCCUUUGAUUUCAUUUGCAUAGAGCUAUGUACACUGUAAUCACAUUAGCUAGAACACUCGCUUUUUGCUUCAAAUUUGAAAUUCAUACCAUGAUGGACUUGAACGCUGAAUUUCUUGAUUGCUGAGUUAGUAAUCACAUUGUGGCGCUGCCACAGAAGCUGGACUCUUCAUUGUUGUUGCCUUGUGGGCUGCCGUGUGCAAAGAACAAGAGCGCACGGUAUUAUAAUAGCAGAGCAGAACACAGACAAGCGACAAGGAGCGGAGCAGAGCAGAGCACAGCCAAGCACAAGCAGUAGAGUAGAGCAGAGCAACCGGGAGAGGAGAGGGCACAUAUGCAGAGUAGAGCAGAGCCAAGCGCAAGCAUUCAUGCACUCAAGCAUGCAGCAGAGGUGUAGCAAGGCAAGCACAAGCAGCAGAGCAGAGGGAAGGGAAGGCUGGGAGAUGAAUAGGCGAAUAGUUAGUUACCUGGACAGAGCAGAGGGAAUGGAGAUGAUGCAGAUGCUUCCGGAGACUGGAGAUUUGGAGAGGAACAAGGCCACGUUGUGAACAAGGUCUCCUUUCUCUUCUCUAUUUCCCGUGCAAUACUCGUGCAUAGUGGCUGCCUCAUCCUCCAGGACGCCCACUUCAACCUGAGGCGGGUGCCACAGAUAUCCUGGCUAGGCGACGGCUAUCCCCAGCACGCCCCAGCGCCUUACGAACUAUGAUCCUAAUACUAUAAAUUGUCACGUACUCACCUUGUAAUCUUGUUUCAAGCAUGCUCUAUAUGUCAACCUGUAAGGUUAACUUCGUUUUUCCUUUUCUGGGUAGGGAAGUGGAUAUUGCUGUUAUUUAUGUUAUGUUGAUAUUGGUUUCCACAUGUCAUUCAUCCCAAAUGUGUUGCAAGGUUGAACCUAUCAUCGGAGGAAUUUUUUUCCCUUGACCUUUAUAUCACUACGCUCUGGUUAUGUAUGAAACGCUUGUCUUCUUAAAAACCUUAAUUUAGAAACGAAUUUGAAAUAUUAUCUUCGUUUACAUCCUGUAUAUGUGUUCUCUACCUUUUGUCCUAUAUUACCUUUUGUCCUAUAUGAUCUGCUUUGAUUUCAUUUGUGCAUAGUUUUUUCAAUUCAGACCUGGUGAUUUCUGAGGUUGAUGUGUCACACCCGAUUUUAAGAGUGCAUUAAAUACAUGUGCGCCAGGAUCAAGUUACACACAUGUACGACAUAAGCAAAUAUCAAAGACAGUGCCAUAACGAAAUAAAGAGAGUAUUAAUCAUUAUUACAUGAUCGAAAGUCUCAAAUAAACCACAAAGUCUAUUUAUUAUGCAGCGGAACUCCUAAGAUAGCAACGUCUCCAUAGGCAGCUGACUGAAGAACUGUACGCCUAGAACUUCUCAAAAUUGUGCAGGUACUCCUCCAAAUUAGCUUGGUCUGAAUAGCGGUUUUGCAAGGGUGAGUACAUUUAUGGUUGAUACUCAACAAGUCGUGGGAAACAGUGUAGUGUAAAGCAAAUCAAGGUAUGGCUAAGGCUUAAACAGCAUCAGCUUUUAAUUUAGUUGGUCAAAUUUUAUUAGCAAUUAACUAGAUGUAAGUUUAUACCACCCAAAAUUAAACAAGAACAUGAAUAAAAUAAUAACAUAACCAUAAAUGAAAUGACAAUAAUUUAAAUCCAUCUUUCGAUAGCAUUAUCAUGUGAGCAAUUUUUUCCCCUUGACCUUUAUAUCACUACACUCUGGUUAUGUAUGAAACACUUGUCUUCUUAAAAAUCUUAAUUUAGAAACGAAUUUGAAGCAUUAUCUUCAUUUACAUCCUGUAUAUGUGUUUUCUACCUUUUGUCCUAUAUGAUCUGCUUUGAUUUAAUUUGUGCAUAGUUUUUUCAAUUCAGACCAAUUUCUGAGGUUCAUGUUGUGCUGAUAAGCAGCCUACUAUUCAAUAACACUUUCAUGUGGCAUGUUCAUGUUAGCUAGCUAGAAACACUGUGCUUUUAGCUUCAAAAUUCAAAUUCAUGAUAUUAUGGACAUUGACAAUGAAUUUCUUGAUUGCUAAGCUAUGUACACUGUAAUCAAAUUGUGGGGCUGAUAAAAUAAGUAGCGUUGAGACACAUAACAAUUGAAUCUUAAGCUUCACACAGAAUCUGGACUAGUCAUCCUCAUUCUUGUCAUGCUGGAAAUGUCUUUGAUACAUUUCAAUCACAGGCAAUUGAAUUCGUACUGGGGAGGAUGGCAAUGGUGCGUGAAGAGAGAUCAAUGUGGCAAAUCUCACACUGUUCAUUACCAGGUAUCUCUGAUUUCUGGUUAUUUUAAAUUUACCUUGACAUGUGACUUAUUGAGGUAGUGUAUUUCAUCUAAUGGUAGUUCUGAAUUUAUGGUAACCUUGGAUGGGGUUUGUCACUUUAUCCACGCACGGACUUACAAAGGACAGCAAAUGACUAUUUUUACAGGGCUCCUGUCUAACCAUGGACUAUACUUUAUGUACCCUUUUUUGACAUGGUAAUUUGAGGUUAAUGGAAAAGUAGCAUAUUUUCCCUGUAGUUACCUUGGGUUUACUUUCGCAUUGUUUUUUUACAGAGUUUGCAACCAGUGUUUCAUUAUCAGAUGAACGCAAGCAGAGGGUAUCACUCGUGGAGAGCCUUGGCGUUGCAGAGCAGUCCCACUCCAACUUGUAGAUAGUAUAUAUUCCCUCUGUUCUAAAAUGUAAGGUAUUUUGAUUUUUUUAGAUAUAUAGAUUCUACUAUGCUAACCUGAUAACCCCAUAAUCCAUCCUGAGGAAAAACCAGGCUAAGAAUAAGUGCUUUCAUGACAUUUAAAUGUCCUGGAAAGUCUUGUUUUGUUUAUAUGCUUAAGCAAAGUAGCUCUGGAGGGCAUGAAAGAAAAGCAUCGUGUUGAUGAGUAUUGCUGGAUGUUUAACUAUUAGUAUGGUAUAUUUAACUGAACAAGGCCUAGGACAGCACAAGGAUGGCCUUUAGGACAGCAUUGCUUUCUCGGCCUAAUUGGCGCCUUACAUUUGGCGACCAUACACGGCCCGUUAAGGAAAUUUAUGCCCAAGUUUGCCGAAGCAUUUAAGGCACAAAUGUUUUUGACUUCUGAUGGCCUGUUUUUGACCUCCCAUGGCCCAGUAGCGACCCUAGUUUUUAUCAGCAAUGACCAAAUGUUAGCCCAGUUUUGCCCCAUCUUAGGGUCUAAUCAUGGACCAAUAAAACAUGUGCUAGACUUCAUGGCCACCGGAUGCGUGUUCGGCCACGUAAUCGUGUGCUAUAGCUCACGGGAGGCUGAAAAUGGCCUGAAGGGGCACAGUGGAUGAAAACGUUAGGGACGCUCGGAACACAAGAAAAUGACCACCAGAUACGUGUUUGGCCAUUGUAACUGUGCGCUAUAGUUGAUAGGUCGAAAGCGGCUUGAAGAGGCAUCAGUGAUGGAAACAUGGGGGAUGGUCGGAACACUUGAAAAUGGCACUGGAUAAGUGUGCUUAUUCCUUGCGGGAUGCUGAAAAUGGCUUGGAAGGGUCAUCUAGGAUGGAAACUAGGUGGACAAUAAGUGAAAAUGGGCAGCGGACACGUGUUCGGUCAUGUAACCGUGUGCUAUAGUCCACUAGAGGUCGGAAAACUGCCCUAGGGACUCUAGAGAUGAAAAUGUGAGGAACAGCUGAAAGGUUACGUGUUUGGCCAUGACAGCCCUAUUAGGAAGCGAUAGAAGUGGAAAGAUAGCUGGUUUCAUAUUGGCAUCCCAUCUCUGAACUUUUGCUUCCCCCUUCCCUCCGUAAUCCCGGGGCAUCGAAUUAAAAAGUAUACAAAUCACUUUCAGAUGUAAUUGAGGGUAAAGAGGGGAGGUUUCACGAGACUCUACAAUGUUCAAAUCAUUCGUUCGUUAGGAUGCCUCAGCUUCAUACAUUGUUGCACUUCCACUUGACACCUAUUUAAAUGGUUCGUCUCGCUGCUACAAGGUAUCAUCAGAUAUAGAAGAAUCAGAGACCGGGGGUAAUAGCAAAAAAGGAAUAUAACUCGUCUGAGGAAGUGGGCGCAGGGGCAGUGGGGUAAGGUAAUUGAAGUAACUAGCCAGUUUCUUCCCGAAACUUUCCAAGAAAAAUUCCGAAUUGGAUCCAAAAUUGACGGAUUAAUCAACCAAAAUAACCGUGAGCAGCCACAAUGUUAUAAAUGUUAUAAGUCCCUUCUUCUUGACCAAAUUUGUAACUCUUAUUAGCAGACUCAUUUUUAGUGGUUUCCCUGAUCAAACUAGAGGUUACCAAGGAACCGUGUGCUAUAGCCCACAGAUGCCUGGAAACAGCUAGGAAGGGCUUCGGGGAUGGAAACAACGUGGACGGUCGGAACACGUGAGAAUGACCACGGGAUACAUGUUUGGCCCUGUAACAGUGUGCUAUAGGAAGCCGGAAAUGGCUAGGAGGGUCACCAGGGAUGAAGAUGCAGGGAUGGAUGGAACAUGUGAAAAUGACCACUAGUGGUUAGUGGCAGGUCUAGAGAGAUAUCUCAUCAAAUUGGUGAGUUAUAUCCGGUUUAAACGAGGAUAAAAAUGGGUGUAUUUUCCACUCAUCAUAUUGUCUUUUCGUAGCUGUACCGCCUUUCGUGUGUUGUAUUGUUCCCCAAACACUAAGUCUCCGAGGCUUGAGAAAAUAAGGAAAGUGAUAGCAGCCCAAAAAUUGACCAAGUUUCUUUCCCCCUCUGGCUUUCUACUAGGAUUCAGAAUCCUCUUUUCCAUGACAAUCUUAAUUAUCUCCCAUACUCCAAAACUCACAAAAACAUCAAGAGUCCGCUGAGAAUAAAUUUAAGUAAAAAACAUGCACACAUAGAUCCACAUCCAAUGGCAAGGAAAGGGGCGUCAGACAAAGCCCAAUGGCAACUGCUGACAUGCGAUUAAAUUCAGAUCCACAUCCGGCCAUUCAAUAAUACGGUUGGAGUUGUGGCACAGAUAUAUUAUUGCAUGAUCAUCAAGAUAAGAUCGUACAGUGACUGAGUGAGACAAUAAAUAGCCAAGUAAACUAUUUUAUCCUGCUGCAAGCUGCAUUCAUAAGUUUAUUUCACCUUUGAUCACAAUACUCUUCACACACGUACGUCUCAGGGAGAUCUCACUUCCGCUGGACUGCUCACUUCCGCUGUCGUCGGUACUGCCAAAGACAUAAGCUCACAUCUGCUAUUGCGGAGCAGGCCAAUUUGCUGCGGAACUUCGGCGACGACCUGAAGGACAUGAACUCGGUGCUGGAGUCCAUCUCAGCAGCGCUCUAGGACGCUGACACCGGUAGAAAAACGACCUUCCAUCGUCAACAAAAAUCCCGGUAGCUUUUUUACUCGGUACUAAAGAGGUUUUAAUCUCGUGCAAACACCUUUAGUCCAGAUUGCUAUUACCACGCAACCCGGACUAAAGCGUCCCCCGCGAGUUAGUAUAUAAGGAUUGCAUCCUUUACUCAGUCAGAUAUAAUAUGUAGGUGAGAUGGUAAGGAAGCUAUGCGUGAGGCUUCAGGUUGUGGGUUCGAAUCCAAGUGGGUGCAGCUGUGGCUUAAGCGGCUGAGGCACGCCGCCAUAGACAUCUCAGAUUUGCUCGAAGACUACCAAGACACUAGUGAACCCUUAACAGUAAAGGUGAGUACUUAUGAAUGUCAGCAUCCAUGUUGUCCAUGCUUCCAAUGUAAUAACAAGAUGGACUACUCUUCCUAGCGGACUCUUCACAACCACUCGUAAAGCUAUGCGUUUCUCAAUGCAAUUUCGUAGAAGCCAAUCGAUCCAACCAAGUGACUAAAUCAUUCGUCCUUUCCAAUGAUGUGCAUCAGGUUUUCUAUAUGAAGGGCAUGUCUAGCAAACCUAAGAUUUCAGAAGAAAAAGAAAAAUCAUUGGAGCCAAAGAGCCACAUAGUUCUUCUAGGAAAAAAAUCAUGGGAGUCGAGAACAUAUCAAACCAAUCAGGGGAUUAUGGUCAGCUUAAUGGCAUGCCUCCAUUCGAUGUCGAAGUUCACCCAAGCAUCAUGUUAGCCAAACAUCAAAUGUUCGUGCGUUGUUACGGUAAAGAUCAAUUGUGUUUUUUAAACUCUUGGAAUUUUUUUAUCUAAGUUUUUAUUUACACUUAUUGGAUGUCUACACAUUUGCUAGAAAACUAAAAUAAUUUGGACUUAAUUAUUUCUUUCAACUGAAGUACUCACUAAAUUUCUACCUUUUUAUUUAAGCAAGAGAGUUGCUAAAAAAAAUGGAUACGUAACCAUGUUGUAUCAUACAAAGUAACCACGUUUCACAUAUAGUCCGGCUUAGCAAACACCAUUGUUUUCUGAACAUAGCGUACAUGAGUUAACAGACAUGGAUUUAUUUCUAUUGCAAGUAGCAUAGCGUACAACCUGCCUGCACCGAUGCAGCUCAAUAUGCGAUAAUUUUUAUCUUCCCAUGUAAUUUUUCUACUCUAGUACAUAUUGAACUCCACAUUAAUGUCAUGUUCUUUCGCGCCCCAGAAGGUUCCUAAAGUUUGGAAACUUAAUAGAUAGCCAGAAUUUUUUUUAAAGAUAUUUAUAUGGAUACUUGUAUGUUCUUUCCAAACUAACAAUAUUGUUUACCAAUAUCAGAAGGAAUAUGGUUAGGAGCCAUUGCCGCAUAUGGCAGGUGAUGGUAGAUGGCGUAUGGGGUUUCGUUAAUUUAAUGGUAUAAUAAGCUGAAAUACAUUUUCUAUUUGCAAAUGAAUCAUAGCUGAAAUUGGUGGGAUUGUUUUUUUCGCCGGUUUAGCAUCCUGUGCACCAGUUCAACCGGAGGGAAGCUGUUUUUUUUCUUUGGUUUUCCACCGGUUCACCGAGACCGAUGACAAUUUUAUGGCAGAAUCAUUACUUGUUUUACUAUUAGGUGAAGAUUUUAGCGUUUAGGUAUCUCACAUUAAACGCAACUUCAACAAUCUAUUUCUAGUGUAUAAUGUAGGAGACCCCGUAAAGAGUCUACACACACAUAUAUGUUGACUAUGAAUGUAAGUUUGUUGGUUUUAUGUAUGUUCGUUUGGAGUUUAUGUAAAUUUUACAUUUUAUAGUUUUGUGUAUAUGACGAAGAUCCAUGACUUGCAUUAAUUUAGCCUUUCUUCCAACAACUCUUAUGCAUGCUGUUUCUAGGCGAGCGUACUGGUUGCAAUUUUGGUCCCCGAUAUAGUGUGAGGACUUAAGGGACACGUGCAGGUCGUAACCUUAGAUAUUUUUGCUGAGAAUGGAUGAAGAAGCAAUAAUAUACUUUGCUUCUGAUUUUCUCCAUGUCAUUUGCUUACUCUUAUCCCUUUUAUUUAUCAUUAUAAGAUGAAAAUAUUGUAAAAACUUGGCUACGUGCGGUCGCAGAAGCUAGAGACUAAAGCGUCCCCCACGAGUUACUAUAUAAAAGGAUUGCAUCCUCUACUCAGUCAUAUGUACUGUGUAGGUGAGAUGGUAAGGAAGCUAUGUGUGAGGCUUGAGGUUGUAGGUUCGAAUCCCACGCACCGCGUGCGCAUGCGCAUAUUUUGCGUGAAAAAUCGCAUGACUUGUGGUCGGCCAAGGAGAAGUGCGUGCGGCUGAGGCACGCCGCCAUAGACAUCUCGGAUUUGCUCCAAGACUACCAAGACACUAGCGAACCCUUAACGGCAAAGUUGAGUACUUACGCGUGUUAGCAUCUAUGUUGUCCAUGCUUCCAAUGCAAUAACAAGAAGGGCUACUCAUCCUAGCGGAUUCUUCACAACCACUCGUAAAGCUAUGCGUUUCUCAAUGCAAUUUCGUAGAUGUCAAUCGAUCCAACCAAGCGACUGAAUCAUUCGUCCUUGCUAAUGAUGUGCAUCAGGUUUUCUAUAUGAAGAACAUGUCUAGCAAAUCCAAGAUUUCAGAAGAAAAAUAAAAAUCAUGAGAACCAAAGCACCACGUAGUUCUUCCAGGUAAAAAAAACAAUCAUCCACUGGGAUGACACACAGUAGCGAUCCAAAACGUCCAUAUUAAGACUUUUUGAUAGCAGAAAAAACAUGAAAAUGUCUAAUAUUUGUAGUAUUAAAAGGAAAAAUAAUAUAUUCACUUGACCUUUUUUUCGUAGCAACGCACCGGUGCGUAGUCAGACUUAGGCCACGUUUGGAUACUCCCUACUAAAGUUUAGCACCUGUCACAUAGGAUGUUUGGAUACUAAUUAGGAGUAUUAAACAUAGGCUAAUUAUAAAACUAAUUGAACAGAUGGAGUCUAAUUUGCGAGACGAAUCUAUUAAGCCUAACUAGUCCAUGAUUUGACAAUGUGGUGCUACAGUAACCAUUUGCUAAUGGUGGAUUAAUUAGGCUUAAUAGAUUCGUCUCGCGAAUUAACAUAGGGUUCUGCAAUUAAUUUUAUAAUUAGCUCAUGUCUAGUCCUUCUAAUUAGCAUCCGAACAUCUGAUAUGAUACUGCUAAAGUUUAUCACCUAGUAUCCAAAUACCCCCUUAAUGCACGAUGCCUGUGCAUCCACUGGGCCUACCCUCGUGGAUCACGCGCUCGUGGAUCACGCGCACCAUGACAUGGCUCAUUAGCUAGUCGUGCUAAUCCUUACCACCAAAUUAAAAACUAGCAUGUGUUGUGUGUUUGUGACCCUAAACGACUACCACCUUCCCGAGUCCACCGGAGUUGCCAGUUCACCACUAAGCUGACUCUCCGAGCUUCAUGUCACUGUCACCGCUCCAAAGACCUAGAUCGGUUCGCUGUGCACCCCGCUUCGUCCUGAGCUAAAUCCCAUCACGAAAGGUGACCGGAUGCUCGUUUUCGAGCGAAUUCUAGCGAGAUUGCCACCACCUUUCCCCUUCCAGCCGAUCGCAGCUGUCUGAUCACAAACCGACAGCCCAGAUCGGAUUUGACCAGGUCAAUACCGGUCAAGCCGAGAUGCAUGCUGCUUUUGCAAGAAGGCCCCUAUUUUUCUCUCUUUUUGCACUUGAGGUCCUACGCAGUUCAAAAGUAAUUAGAUCUAGAUCCUUUUUCUUCUGUUUUAGCCCUGUUCUUUUAUAAAAUCCCACCCGCCAUCCUGUUUGGUAUUUUGACAUGUUAGACCUUCUAUUUAUAUGUUUAAUUAGGUUUUAGCCCUUGGUUUCUUUAAGUUUAGCUCUUGGAAGUUUAGUUUUCUCGCAGUUAAGCCCCUGAACCUUGUUUAGUUCAUAUCUUUAGCGUUUUAAAUCCGUUUUAAGAGAUUCUUACGCCCAUAAGUUCGUGUUGAUGCAUAGAUUAGUUGACUUAUACGGACCUUGCUGAUUCAGCUCCUUCAUUGUGCUUCAGAUCUCGCUAGUGAAGAAUAAUGGAUGGGCUUUGGUUGAGCUUGUAGAUCGACCUGCAGUUGCAGUGAAUGUGCUGAGGACUGGCGGUACCAAUAAUGGGAGGCCGCUGCUCUGCUUGCUACCAAGGCCUGCGACGCUUGGACGCCAUUCAGAGUGCAUAAUUUCCAAGGAUCUCAAGGGCUCCACACCACGUUCCAAGUGUUUUUUCUUUGCCGAGUGUUUUUAGCUCGGCACUUGGCAAAGAGCUUGUUUGCCGAGUGUCCGAAAAAAACACUUGGCAAAGAGAAAACACUCGGCAAAUUUGAUGUUUCCCGUAGUGAUGUACUAUUCAAACUUGAACUGGGAUGCAGGCUUCAGUACCAAAGAGAGCUCUGGGCGCGGGUGAGCAGUGAGCUGGCCGGGCAGGGAGCUCCAAAGCGACAGCAACAAAGAGAGAAAUGCUAAGAGUAAGAACGACACACGAGGUCACUUCACAUAGAUAAUAGCAGUACGAACCAUACAAUAUCCUCUCUCAGUUUCACUCCGCCUCACACACGGCUAGCACACCAUGCAUGCCGAUUUCAUAUUAUUAAUAUUAUUUUUUGGAUGGUUGUUGAAACUAUAUAUAUAGUUAGUCCAAUCUCACGUUUCCGAUUAUAAAAAUCAACGUAAAGAGAUCGGUAGGGAGAGCCGGCAUAAUGAAGCCGACGCGUGUAAUAAGCACCAGAGCCGGCAUUUAUACAAACUGGUACGAAUAGUAAAAAACUAGAAUUUAUAAAUAAAAAAAUGAUUUGCACAUCUAUGCAAUAAUUAGGGGUUAGUGGCAGGUCUAGAGAGAUAUCUCAUCAUUAUAUCCGGUUUAACGAGGAUAAAAAAGAGUGUAUUUUCCACUCAUCAUGUUGUCUUUUCGCAGCGGUACCACUUUUCGUGUGUUGUAUCGGUCCCCUAAUACGGAGUCUCCGAGGCCCGAGAAAAUAAGGAAAGUGAUAGUAGCCCAGAAAUCGGCCAAGUUUCUUUCCCCUUUGGCUUUCCUACUAGGAUUCAGAAUCCUCUUUCGCAUGACAAUCUUAAUUAUCUCCCAUACUCCAAAACUCACAAAAACAUCAAGAGUCCGCUGAGAAUAAAUUUAAGUAAAAAACAUGCACACACAGAUAAUAAUAAUAAUCAUGUUUCCAUAAAAUUGCUAAGUCCAGAGAUAAUACAUAAACAUAGUAGACUGUUCAUGACACAUAUCACGGUGGACAGUGUUUGUGUCCUUAUUACAAGCAACGAGAGAUGCUCGUCACCAACACGCGCGCGCACAGAUGCACGACAUACAUAUAGUAGAGACCAACAGAUGGUCGUCCCAUAUGGUGAACAAUUUAUUGGAGAUAAAUAUUAACGUAACUUGGCCAUAGCUUGAAGCAUAGCAACAUAUGCCUAUGAGUGGCAUUCAUGCUAUCGUUUUAGGCUUGUCCAGCUCCUUCCAUCUUAGCAAGCACUUCCAUUUCUACCAUCUUAGCAGCAACUGUCAAAUUGAGAUACGGAAAUCCCAUUAGCGCAUGAGUUAAUUUUGCAGUGGAAAUAGAGUACAAGAUGUCUUCAUGAUGUAAGUAAUAUGCCUGAAGUUGUGAGAUGGGAAGUGAAGUCAACAAAUUACAUUAACGGAAAUGCAUGGAAGGCCACACAUACGUAUUAGUCCAUGAUAUGCUACAAAGCUUGUAUGUACAUAUAGCAAAUUAAAUGCAUUAAUUGAAUAGAGUGUGUUUAGUGAAUUUACCAGAAUCGUCCAGAAAACAUGGGAAACAGCAAGUGUUCUUGCAGACUGCGUCGGAGGCACCCGCACGAAUACAAAGCUGACAACAUAGUUUUGCCUGGGCGGAUGCGCAGCAGCCGCACUCCGCCGCGGUGGGGUUAACAUUGAGGCUCAAGAUGACCAGGCACAUGAUCACCAUCAAAGUGGUAGUCCUCUUUCCCUCCAUUGCCUCCUCUUAGCUUGCUGCUACCUUCCUUGGUUACCUAGCUAAGUUUAUUGGUUUUGUGUUGAGAGGUGUGAUUCUUGAAUGGACGUUGCCGGCGGCAAUUUAUAGGCAGCUGAGCUAUGUGAUGAUAUGGACUAGGUGCAAAUGGGUGGUUAAUGGCAAGGAAAGGGGCGUCAGACAAAGCCCAAUGGCAACUGCUGACAUGCGAUUAAAUUCAGAUCCACAUCCGGCCAUUCAAUAAUACGGUUGGAGUUGUGGCACAGAUAUAUUAUUGCAUGAUCAUCAAGAUAAGAUCGUACAGUGACUGAGUGAGACAAUAAAUAGCCAAGUAAACUAUUUUAUCCUGCUGCAAGCUGCAUUCAUAAGUUUAUUUCACCUUUGAUCACAAUACUCUUCACACACGUACGUCUCAGGGAGAUCUCACUUCCGCUGGACUGCUCACUUCCGCUGUCGUCGGUACUGCCAAAGACAUAAGCUCACAUCUGCUAUUGCGGAGCAGGCCAAUUUGCUGCGGAACUUCGGCGACGACCUGAAGGACAUGAACUCGGUGCUGGAGUCCAUCUCAGCAGCGCUCUAGGACGCUGACACCGGUAGAAAAACGACCUUCCAUCGUCAACAAAAAUCCCGGUAGCUUUUUUACUCGGUACUAAAGAGGUUUUAAUCUCGUGCAAACACCUUUAGUCCAGAUUGCUAUUACCACGCAACCCGGACUAAAGCGUCCCCCGCGAGUUAGUAUAUAAGGAUUGCAUCCUUUACUCAGUCAGAUAUAAUAUGUAGGUGAGAUGGUAAGGAAGCUAUGCGUGAGGCUUCAGGUUGUGGGUUCGAAUCCAAGUGGGUGCAGCUGUGGCUUAAGCGGCUGAGGCACGCCGCCAUAGACAUCUCAGAUUUGCUCGAAGACUACCAAGACACUAGUGAACCCUUAACAGUAAAGGUGAGUACUUAUGAAUGUCAGCAUCCAUGUUGUCCAUGCUUCCAAUGUAAUAACAAGAUGGACUACUCUUCCUAGCGGACUCUUCACAACCACUCGUAAAGCUAUGCGUUUCUCAAUGCAAUUUCGUAGAAGCCAAUCGAUCCAACCAAGUGACUAAAUCAUUCGUCCUUUCCAAUGAUGUGCAUCAGGUUUUCUAUAUGAAGGGCAUGUCUAGCAAACCUAAGAUUUCAGAAGAAAAAGAAAAAUCAUUGGAGCCAAAGAGCCACAUAGUUCUUCUAGGAAAAAAAUCAUGGGAGUCGAGAACAUAUCAAACCAAUCAGGGGAUUAUGGUCAGCUUAAUGGCAUGCCUCCAUUCGAUGUCGAAGUUCACCCAAGCAUCAUGUUAGCCAAACAUCAAAUGUUCGUGCGUUGUUACGGUAAAGAUCAAUUGUGUUUUUUAAACUCUUGGAAUUUUUUUAUCUAAGUUUUUAUUUACACUUAUUGGAUGUCUACACAUUUGCUAGAAAACUAAAAUAAUUUGGACUUAAUUAUUUCUUUCAACUGAAGUACUCACUAAAUUUCUACCUUUUUAUUUAAGCAAGAGAGUUGCUAAAAAAAAUGGAUACGUAACCAUGUUGUAUCAUACAAAGUAACCACGUUUCACAUAUAGUCCGGCUUAGCAAACACCAUUGUUUUCUGAACAUAGCGUACAUGAGUUAACAGACAUGGAUUUAUUUCUAUUGCAAGUAGCAUAGCGUACAACCUGCCUGCACCGAUGCAGCUCAAUAUGCGAUAAUUUUUAUCUUCCCAUGUAAUUUUUCUACUCUAGUACAUAUUGAACUCCACAUUAAUGUCAUGUUCUUUCGCGCCCCAGAAGGUUCCUAAAGUUUGGAAACUUAAUAGAUAGCCAGAAUUUUUUUUAAAGAUAUUUAUAUGGAUACUUGUAUGUUCUUUCCAAACUAACAAUAUUGUUUACCAAUAUCAGAAGGAAUAUGGUUAGGAGCCAUUGCCGCAUAUGGCAGGUGAUGGUAGAUGGCGUAUGGGGUUUCGUUAAUUUAAUGGUAUAAUAAGCUGAAAUACAUUUUCUAUUUGCAAAUGAAUCAUAGCUGAAAUUGGUGGGAUUGUUUUUUUCGCCGGUUUAGCAUCCUGUGCACCAGUUCAACCGGAGGGAAGCUGUUUUUUUUCUUUGGUUUUCCACCGGUUCACCGAGACCGAUGACAAUUUUAUGGCAGAAUCAUUACUUGUUUUACUAUUAGGUGAAGAUUUUAGCGUUUAGGUAUCUCACAUUAAACGCAACUUCAACAAUCUAUUUCUAGUGUAUAAUGUAGGAGACCCCGUAAAGAGUCUACACACACAUAUAUGUUGACUAUGAAUGUAAGUUUGUUGGUUUUAUGUAUGUUCGUUUGGAGUUUAUAUAAAUUUUACAUUUUAUAGUUUUGUGUAUAUGACGAAGAUCCAUGACUUGCAUUAAUUUAGCCUUUCUUCCAACAACUCUUAUGCAUGCUGUUUCUAGGCGAGCGUACUGGUUGCAAUUUUGGUCCCCGAUAUAGUGUGAGGACUUAAGGGACACGUGCAGGUCGUAACCUUAGAUAUUUUUGCUGAGAAUGGAUGAAGAAGCAAUAAUAUACUUUGCUUCUGAUUUUCUCCAUGUCAUUUGCUUACUCUUAUCCCUUUUAUUUAUCAUUAUAAGAUGAAAAUAUUGUAAAAACUUGGCUACGUGCGGUCGCAGAAGCUAGAGACUAAAGCGUCCCCCACGAGUUACUAUAUAAAAGGAUUGCAUCCUCUACUCAGUCAUAUGUACUGUGUAGGUGAGAUGGUAAGGAAGCUAUGUGUGAGGCUUGAGGUUGUAGGUUCGAAUCCCACGCACCGCGUGCGCAUGCGCAUAUUUUGCGUGAAAAAUCGCAUGACUUGUGGUCGGCCAAGGAGAAGUGCGUGCGGCUGAGGCACGCCGCCAUAGACAUCUCGGAUUUGCUCCAAGACUACCAAGACACUAGCGAACCCUUAACGGCAAAGUUGAGUACUUACGCGUGUUAGCAUCUAUGUUGUCCAUGCUUCCAAUGCAAUAACAAGAAGGGCUACUCAUCCUAGCGGAUUCUUCACAACCACUCGUAAAGCUAUGCGUUUCUCAAUGCAAUUUCGUAGAUGUCAAUCGAUCCAACCAAGCGACUGAAUCAUUCGUCCUUGCUAAUGAUGUGCAUCAGGUUUUCUAUAUGAAGAACAUGUCUAGCAAAUCCAAGAUUUCAGAAGAAAAAUAAAAAUCAUGAGAACCAAAGCACCACGUAGUUCUUCCAGGUAAAAAAAACAAUCAUCCACUGGGAUGACACACAGUAGCGAUCCAAAACGUCCAUAUUAAGACUUUUUGAUAGCAGAAAAAACAUGAAAAUGUCUAAUAUUUGUAGUAUUAAAAGGAAAAAUAAUAUAUUCACUUGACCUUUUUUUCGUAGCAACGCACCGGUGCGUAGUCAGACUUAGGCCACGUUUGGAUACUCCCUACUAAAGUUUAGCACCUGUCACAUAGGAUGUUUGGAUACUAAUUAGGAGUAUUAAACAUAGGCUAAUUAUAAAACUAAUUGAACAGAUGGAGUCUAAUUUGCGAGACGAAUCUAUUAAGCCUAACUAGUCCAUGAUUUGACAAUGUGGUGCUACAGUAACCAUUUGCUAAUGGUGGAUUAAUUAGGCUUAAUAGAUUCGUCUCGCGAAUUAACAUAGGGUUCUGCAAUUAAUUUUAUAAUUAGCUCAUGUCUAGUCCUUCUAAUUAGCAUCCGAACAUCUGAUAUGAUACUGCUAAAGUUUAUCACCUAGUAUCCAAAUACCCCCUUAAUGCACGAUGCCUGUGCAUCCACUGGGCCUACCCUCGUGGAUCACGCGCUCGUGGAUCACGCGCACCAUGACAUGGCUCAUUAGCUAGUCGUGCUAAUCCUUACCACCAAAUUAAAAACUAGCAUGUGUUGUGUGUUUGUGACCCUAAACGACUACCACCUUCCCGAGUCCACCGGAGUUGCCAGUUCACCACUAAGCUGACUCUCCGAGCUUCAUGUCACUGUCACCGCUCCAAAGACCUAGAUCGGUUCGCUGUGCACCCCGCUUCGUCCUGAGCUAAAUCCCAUCACGAAAGGUGACCGGAUGCUCGUUUUCGAGCGAAUUCUAGCGAGAUUGCCACCACCUUUCCCCUUCCAGCCGAUCGCAGCUGUCUGAUCACAAACCGACAGCCCAGAUCGGAUUUGACCAGGUCAAUACCGGUCAAGCCGAGAUGCAUGCUGCUUUUGCAAGAAGGCCCCUAUUUUUCUCUCUUUUUGCACUUGAGGUCCUACGCAGUUCAAAAGUAAUUAGAUCUAGAUCCUUUUUCUUCUGUUUUAGCCCUGUUCUUUUAUAAAAUCCCACCCGCCAUCCUGUUUGGUAUUUUGACAUGUUAGACCUUCUAUUUAUAUGUUUAAUUAGGUUUUAGCCCUUGGUUUCUUUAAGUUUAGCUCUUGGAAGUUUAGUUUUCUCGCAGUUAAGCCCCUGAACCUUGUUUAGUUCAUAUCUUUAGCGUUUUAAAUCCGUUUUAAGAGAUUCUUACGCCCAUAAGUUCGUGUUGAUGCAUAGAUUAGUUGACUUAUACGGACCUUGCUGAUUCAGCUCCUUCAUUGUGCUUCAGAUCUCGCUAGUGAAGAAUAAUGGAUGGGCUUUGGUUGAGCUUGUAGAUCGACCUGCAGUUGCAGUGAAUGUGCUGAGGACUGGCGGUACCAAUAAUGGGAGGCCGCUGCUCUGCUUGCUACCAAGGCCUGCGACGCUUGGACGCCAUUCAGAGUGCAUAAUUUCCAAGGAUCUCAAGGGCUCCACACCACGUUCCAAGUGUUUUUUCUUUGCCGAGUGUUUUUAGCUCGGCACUUGGCAAAGAGCUUGUUUGCCGAGUGUCCGAAAAAAACACUUGGCAAAGAGAAAACACUCGGCAAAUUUGAUGUUUCCCGUAGUGAUGUACUAUUCAAACUUGAACUGGGAUGCAGGCUUCAGUACCAAAGAGAGCUCUGGGCGCGGGUGAGCAGUGAGCUGGCCGGGCAGGGAGCUCCAAAGCGACAGCAACAAAGAGAGAAAUGCUAAGAGUAAGAACGACACACGAGGUCACUUCACAUAGAUAAUAGCAGUACGAACCAUACAAUAUCCUCUCUCAGUUUCACUCCGCCUCACACACGGCUAGCACACCAUGCAUGCCGAUUUCAUAUUAUUAAUAUUAUUUUUUGGAUGGUUGUUGAAACUAUAUAUAUAGUUAGUCCAAUCUCACGUUUCCGAUUAUAAAAAUCAACGUAAAGAGAUCGGAAGGGAGAGCCGGCAUAAUGAAGCCGACGCGUGUAAUAAGCACCAGAGCCGGCAUUUAUACAAACUGGUACGAAUAGUAAAAAACUAGAAUUUAUAAAUAAAAAAAUGAUUUGCACAUCUAUGCAAUAAUUAGGGGUUAGUGGCAGGUCUAGAGAGAUAUCUCAUCAUUAUAUCCGGUUUAACGAGGAUAAAAAAGAGUGUAUUUUCCACUCAUCAUGUUGUCUUUUCGCAGCGGUACCACUUUUCGUGUGUUGUAUCGGUCCCCUAAUACGGAGUCUCCGAGGCCCGAGAAAAUAAGGAAAGUGAUAGUAGCCCAGAAAUCGGCCAAGUUUCUUUCCCCUUUGGCUUUCCUACUAGGAUUCAGAAUCCUCUUUCGCAUGACAAUCUUAAUUAUCUCCCAUACUCCAAAACUCACAAAAACAUCAAGAUUCCGCUGAGAAUAAAUUUAAGUAAAAAACAUGCACACACAGAUAAUAAUAAUAAUCAUGUUUCCAUAAAAUUGCUAAGUCCAGAGAUAAUACAUAAACAUAGUAGACUGUUCAUGACACAUAUCACGGUGGACAGUGUUUGUGUCCUUAUUACAAGCAACGAGAGAUGCUCGUCACCAACACGCGCGCGCACAGAUGCACGACAUACAUAUAGUAGAGACCAACAGAUGGUCGUCCCAUAUGGUGAACAAUUUAUUGGGGAUAAAUAUUAACGUAACUUGGCCAUAGCUUGAAGCAUAGCAACAUAUGCCUAUGAGUGGCAUUCAUGCUAUCGUUUUAGGCUUGUCCAGCUCCUUCCAUCUUAGCAAGCACUUCCAUUUCUACCAUCUUAGCAGCAACUGUCAAAUUGAGAUACGGAAAUCCCAUUAGCGCAUGAGUUAAUUUUGCAGUGGAAAUAGAGUACAAGAUGUCUUCAUGAUGUAAGUAAUAUGCCUGAAGUUGUGAGAUGGGAAGUGAAGUCAACAAAUUACAUUAACGGAAAUGCAUGGAAGGCCACACAUACGUAUUAGUCCAUGAUAUGCUACAAAGCUUGUAUGUACAUAUAGCAAAUUAAAUGCAUUAAUUGAAUAGAGUGUGUUUAGUGAAUUUACCAGAAUCGUCCAGAAAACAUGGGAAACAGCAAGUGUUCUUGCAGACUGCGUCGGAGGCACCCGCACGAAUACAAAGCUGACAACAUAGUUUUGCCUGGGCGGAUGCGCAGCAGCCGCACUCCGCCGCGGUGGGGUUAACAUUGAGGCUCAAGAUGACCAGGCACAUGAUCACCAUCAAAGUGGUAGUCCUCUUUCCCUCCAUUGCCUCCUCUUAGCUUGCUGCUACCUUCCUUGGUUACCUAGCUAAGUUUAUUGGUUUUGUGUUGAGAGGUGUGAUUUUUGAAUGGACGUUGCCGGCGGCAAUUUAUAGGCAGCUGAGCUAUGUGAUGAUAUGGACUAGGUGCAAAUGGGUGGUUAAUGGCAAGGAAAGGGGCGUCAGACAAAGCCC
rnacentral:lncRNA from 1 species